rnacentral:rRNA from 1 species
AGCAGCCGCGGUAAUUCCAGCUCCAAUAGCGUAUAUUAAAGUUGUUGCAGUUAAAAAGCUCGUAGUUGAAUUUCGGGGUUAGUAGGUUGGUCAUGCCUCUGGUAUGUACUGGUCUCACUGAUUCCUCCUUCCUGAUGAGCCGUAAUGCCAUUAAUUUGGUGUUGCGGGGAAUUUGGACUGUUACUUUGAAAAAAAUUAGAGUGUUUAAAGCAAGCUAACGCUUGAAUACAUUAGCAUGGAAUAAUGAAAUAGGACGUUUGAUUCUAUUUUGUUGGUUUCUAGGAUCGACGUAAUGAUUAAUAGGGAUAGUUGGGGGCAUUAGUAUUCAAUUGUCAGAGGUGAAAUUCUUGGAUUUAUUGAAGACUAACUACUGCGAAAGCAUUUGCCAAGGAUGAUUUCAUUAAUCAAGAACGAAAGUUAGGGGAUCGAAGACGAUCAGAUACUGUCGUAGUCUUAACCAUAAACUAUGCCGACUAGGGAUCGGAUGAUGUUAAUUUUUUU